GUGGGGAAUCUUGCGCAAUGGGCGAAAGCCUGACGCAGCCAUGCCGCGUGAAUGAUGAAGGUCUUAGGAUUGUAAAAUUCUUUCACCGGGGACGAUAAUGACGGUACCCGGAGAAGAAGCUCCGGCUAACUUCGUGCCAGCAGCCGCGGUAAUGCGAAGGGGGCUAGCGUUGCUCGGAAUUACUGGGCGUAAAGGGCGCGUAGGCGGACAGCUUAGUCAGAGGUGAAAGCCCAGGGCUCAACCUUGGAAUUGCCUUUGAUACUGGCUGUCUUGAGUUUGGGAGAGGUGAGUGGAACUCCGAGUGUAGAGGUGAAAUUCGUAGAUAUGCGGAAGAACACCAGUGGCGAAGGCGACUCACUGGCCCAAUACUGACGCUGAGGCGCGAAAGCGUGGGGAGCAAACAGGAUUAGAAACCCGGGUAGUCC
rnacentral:rRNA from 1 species